CCUUGUCACGCCAGACCAAACCAAACCUAAACAAUUAAAUCCCUCCCUUCCUUUCUCGUGCUUCUCCCUCAGAGCUUUCAUUUCCCCUCUGCCCUUUCUCUUUUUGCUUUAUUUGGGCGGUGAGCAAACCCUAGCUCCGCCGCCCGCCUUAGAUCGACCCUAGCCGCUCCGUCGAGAUGUCAGAAGCCGAAGCCGAAGCCGAGACGAAGCUGGAGGAGGAGAAGGCGGCGCUGCCAGUCGCCGGGGAGAUCCUCUACUGCGGGGGGACCGACUGGGACUCGCUCGGCCGGAAGGGUCCUCCAAAUGCCGUGAACCUCGCUUCGCCCACCAGGCUUCGGCCCCUCGUCGGAGUUGAUAUACGCUUCGUGGCUUCUGGCUGCACUUCUUGUCAUUGCGUGGCUUUGGAUGCUCAAGGACGUUGCUACACGUGGGGAAGAAAUGAGAAAGGUCAGUUGGGACAUGGGGAUACUCUUCAACGUAGUGUUCCAACAAUUGCGUCUAAACUAUCCAAGUAUAAGAUUAUCAAAGCAGGUGCCGGAAGAAAUCAUACUGUUGUUGUUACCGAUAAAGGGAAAUCUUUCUCUUUUGGGCUGAAUAAACAUGGGCAGUUGGGAACUGGUUCAGCGAAAACUGAAAUUGAGCCAUCUCCAGUCGCAUGUAUGGUUUCUGAAGCUACAAAUGUUGUUUGCGGUGCUGAUUUUACUGUAUGGCUUUCAUCAGUGGAAGGGUCUUCAAUUCUGACUGCUGGUCUUCCUCAGUAUGGACAACUUGGCCAUGGAACUAAUAAUGAGUACAACUCUAAAGACAGCUCAGUAAAGCUAGUUUACGAGCCCCAGCCACGCCCACGUGCAAUAGCUACAUUAUCUGGGAAAACUAUUCUCAAAGUUGCAUGUGGAACAAAUCACACAGUUGCUGUUGAUUCAAACGGCUUUGUUUACACAUGGGGGUUUGGUGGAUAUGGAAGGCUGGGCCAUCGGGAGCAGAAGGAUGAGUGGGCUCCACGUCUUGUGGAGGUCUUCCAGAAGCAAAAUGUUUUACCUCCUAAUGCUAUAGUAUCAGCAGGUUCUGUAAAUUCUGCCUGCACUGCUGGAGGAGGACAACUGUACAUGUGGGGAAAACUAAAAAUUACUGGUGAUGAUUGGAUGUAUCCCAAGCCUGUGAUGGACUUAAGUGGUUGGAACAUUCGUUGCAUGGAUUCUGGUAAUAUGCACCAUCUUGUAGGAGCAGAAAAUUCAUGCAUAAGUUGGGGUCAUGCUCAAUAUGGGGAACUUGGCUAUGGCCCUCUUGGACAGAAGUCUUCUGCAAAUCCAAAAAAAGUUGAUAUCCUUGAGGGCAUGCAUGUCAUGAGUGUGGCUUGCGGGAUGGGCCUUUCACUUAUUGUAGUUGAUAGAACAAAUGGUGGUGAUAGACUAGAUCAGGUAUGCAUUGGAAGACAAACAAACUUUAUUAUACUUUCCUCUCUCAUUUACCAUAUUAUUAUUUGAUUUUUUUAAUGCAAUAUUCAAUCCUAAGUAUGUUUGUAUAAUUUGGUUUGCUUGCCAUAUUGGAUUUGUUUUUCAUACCUUUCUUAGUGUACAGUUUCUGUAUUACAGUUGCAUAUGUAGAAAGGUAAGUUGUUUCAUCUAUGUUAACAUGCCCAACUAUUGGAUUCUCUUUGUUGGCCAUGUCCUUGGUCCAUCAUUUAGCUGUUAGUAUCUUUUGGUUCCUUUGAACCAAUCUAGUUAUUGAUUGUUGAUCCUUAAAAAAUCAUGGUAUUGAUUUUUAUUGGAGGUUUUUCUCCUAGGUUUGUAAUACCACACUUGAUCGUAAAGGCCUAUUUUAUUGCUUUGUCACAAAUAGUUUCAUAGACUGCCUGAAGAAUUGCACUGGUACAAUGUUAUUGCUCAAAACUUCAGGUUACAAUAGAGUAAAAGAAUUGACCAUAAGUUUUCUUUCUGCAACACAACGAUUGGGUCAACAACAAACAAGUCUAUGCCUAGGAUGUGUAGGUGCUAGUGCAACAAGGAUAUAUCAUAUGCAUAGUCCCAAUCUCACAGGUCUAUGUGCCUCCAAUGGUGAUCCUGCAAAGGAGAAAAGAAUCUCCAUCAUGGAAAAUUUUGUAUUUCGUAUUUGUAUGAUAAACAAUGAGACAUAAGACUAAUUUGCUAGAAAUAGUCAAAUUUUAAAAAUAAAAGAAAAUCAAGUAUAAAAAAAAAUAAUGCAUGUAAAAAAAAUUUGUUAAACAAUAAUUUUAGUGCAAUAAACUAUGACCACUUCAUGCUCUAAGUUGUUGAUCCUAGUUAAAUCUUUUUUUGUUGUUUUUGUCAUUUGUCUAUGCCAUGCUGAACAAGGUAGUAAAAACUGAACCAAUUUUUAAAACCGACUUGUGUGCUCUUUAGUUGGAAAGGAGGCAUUUUGGAAUUUUAGAACAAGUAUAUUCCGUGUAUGAACAAAAGAAUAGUUGCAUUUAAGUUUUUAGUUUUUUCUGUAAAUUUACAGCAGUUCCAUUCGUCUAAUUAGAAUGGGUUGCUUCCAGUAUAAUGAUGGAAUGCUAAAUCUCUGUCAGUAUAAAAUCAUUAUAUGAUUUAAGACAACUGUCUGUUUGAUCUCUGUCAGUGCUCAUGUAUGUGCUAUUCAAAUGAUUUUCUCAGGAUGUCUUUGCUUAUGUUGUGUCUAUAAAUAGGUUGAUCUUGAUAUUUUUGAGCCAUCACUUGCAUUAUACUUUUAUGCCAGCUAUGGAUUCCAUGAAUGGACAUCAUUAUUUGACAUGCAAAAAGUGGCAUUAAAUUUCUGGAUUUUUAUUGGGAGUCGGUUCCUCUAAUAAUUUUCCGUAUUUUGUAGCUGGAAGUCUAUGAUGGUGAGUCUUCUGUUGAAGGUAUGUCUGGAACAAUGCUCUUUGAUGUUGUGAACAGACAGUUUUCUAUCAAGCAAAAAGUUAUGAGACUUCAUUUUUCUUUCUGUAUUCUUAACAUAUUUCUUAGCAAGAUAGAAAAGAAGGCUACCUAAUAAAUAGCAUUACUGAUCCAAUUAAUUUUUUGUUUAAAUGUGUCUAGUUAUGCAAUAUUAAUUCAUGGUUAUGCUGUGGCAAACUUUUUCUUCUAUAGCAAAAUACUAUAAAAGCAACAUCGAACCUGCUUCUUUAUUGAGUAUGUUGAUCACGAAUAGAUAGUUCAUUGCACAUAGAAAAACAUGUUGUACCUUCUUUCUUUUGAAAUAGAUAGGCGUGAUAACAAAAUGAUGUGUCAUGUUGUCAAUUUUGAAAAGAGUAUUGAGUAUUGAUAGUCGGGAAAAAUGGAUCAGAUCGAGUCCAGAUGGGUAAAUAAAAGGAUUAUACUGGCUUGGACCUGGCUGAAGAGCUUACUAGGUUGCUUACCUGUUAAACUGACACAAUAUUUAUGGUUAAAACAUUAUUCUCAUAGCCAUUUUAAAAAAAAAUUGUUCUACUUAGGGCUGGACCUUAGUAUGAAGAGCAUGUCGAUCUCAUCAAACUUUACCAAACAUCCAACUGGUUUAAAAUGGUUGGAACCAGCUCCAUGUAUAAACCUACUUGUUCAUUUUUAAUGGUCUGAUUGGUAGAUAGGUUAGUUUUACCAAAUGUUUCCAGUCAAGGUUUUUGUUUAACCUAUAUAUACCUAAUGAAAUCAUCGUUUCCUAGAUAAGCAAAUUUUCACUGAUGAUGAUAUUUACAUCUGUCUUGAAACUGUUUCGUCUUUCAUUACUUCACUUGCAUCUUACAAGAUGUGAUAACAGAAAAUCAAUCUUUUCUUGAAAUGAUCAAAAGGUUUAUAGGCCGUGGACGUUUUGCAUUGUGUGGACGUUUUGCAAACAAUGCUCGUUCCUGCUUAGACUGUUAUGGAAGUGCUGGCAGUUUGAUUUUGAUACUGUUGGAUGACUUUGCUUCAGGAACAGAAGAAAAUAAAAAUGGGGACGUUGCUGCUGUGAAGAGAACGCCUAAAAAGAAGGAUAAGUCAUCUGCUGGUUCCAAGAAACGGAAAGGUGAUGACUCAGACUCAGACUCAUCAGAGUCCGAAGACAAUGAUGGUGAAGACAGUGAAGAUGAUGAAGAUUUAAAUGGUGAAGCUCAUGGAGUAAAACAGAAGCGGGGAGGGAGGACUUCAGGCCGUGGCCGAGGGCGAGGAAGGGGUGCCAACAAGAUGGCGACAACCGCAAAGAGUUCUGGCAGAGGAAGGGGUCGUCCUAAAAAGAGGGGCGGUUCCAGCAGAUGAUAAUGUUAUGCACUUGAGAUUUCAUACCUGAUUGGAAUUGACAACUCUGGCUCUGACUUGUUAACCUGACUCUCAUAUUUGUUCAACAGUUCCUCCACAGUCUUCGAUGAUACUACUCAUUGCUACAAAUAUGAAUUGCGUUCAUUGGUUAGGAUGUGUUUUGAGGUGGUAGAGAUGCUGUACAUUUUGUUGGUUCAUUAAACUUAAAUUGUUAUUGUUGUUAA